rnacentral:rRNA from 1 species
AUCAACUUUCGAUGGUAGGAUAGAGGCCUACCAUGGUGGUAACGGGUAACGGGGUGUUAGGGCACGACACCGGAGAGGGAGCCUGAGAAACGGCUACCACAUCCAAGGAUGGCAGCAGGCGCGCAAAUUACCCAAUCCCGACACGGGGAGGUAGUGACAAUAAAUAACAAUACGGGGUUCUUUAGGAUCUCGUAAUUGGAAUGAGUACAAUUUAAAUCUCUUAACGAGGAACAAUUGGAGGGCAAGUCUGGUGCCAGCAGCCGCGGUAAUUCCAGCUCCAAUAGCGUAUAUUAAAGUUGUUGCAGUUAAAAAGCUCGUAGUUGAAUUUCGGGGUCAGUAGGUCGGUCGUGCCACUGGUAUGAACUGGUUUUACUGAUUCCUCCCUCUUGAAGAACUGUAAUGCCAUUAAUUUGGUGUUGCAGGGAAUCAGGACUGUUACUUUGAAAAAAUUAGAGUGUUUAAAGCAGGCUUUAGCUUGAAUACAUUAGCAUGGAAUAAUGAAAUAGGACGUUUGAUCCUAUUUUGUUGGUUUCUAGGAUUGACGUAAUGAUUAAUAGGGAUAGUUGGGGGCAUUAGUAUUCAAUUGUCA